CGAACUGGGUAACCUGCCUCAUAGAGUGGAAUAGCUUCCAAGGAAGAUUAAUACCGCAUAACGUUGAAAGAUGGCAUCAUCAUUCAACCAAAGGAGCAAUCCGCUAUGAGAUGGACCCGCGGCGCAUUAGCUAGUUGGUGGGGUAACGGCCUACCAAGGCGACGAUGCGUAGCCGACCUGAGAGGGUGAUCGGCCACAUUGGGACUGAGACACGGCCCAG
rnacentral:rRNA from 1 species